GACGAACCGAGCGACCGUUGUUCGGAAUCACUGGGCUUAAAGGGCGCGUAGGCGGAUUCUCAAGUCCGGGGUGAAAUCCCACAGCUCAACUGUGGAACUGCCUCGGAUACUGGGAGUCUCGAGGGUGGCAGGGGUAUGCGGAACUAUCGGUGGAGCGGUGAAAUGCGUUGAUAUCGAUAGGAACUCCGGUGGCGAAGGCGGCAUACUGGUCCACUUCUGACGCUGAGGCGCGAAAGCCAGGGGAGCAAACGGG
rnacentral:rRNA from 1 species